GUCCUAACAGAUAUGCUCCAACUCAAACCUCUCUCAGAGAUCGUGGUCGGUCGUAGGUGCGAAGAAUGGCAAAGCCAAAAUCUCCCUACUCUCACUUUCAUUGCGCAUACAGGAGUAAAUCCCGCAUACUCGCACAUAUGUUAGACUCCUUGGUCCGUGUUUCAAGACGGGUCGGUUGGAACCGAUUAAGCCAGCAUCACAGAAACCGAGUACUCGAAAGUGGAGCUCGGAAACAGGAACACUCCUCAGCCACAAGGAAAAGGAAAGAACAAAGAUAUAACGGUCCACAAGGAACCUACCUUCUUUGAACGAAAUCAAUUCCGAGUAGCUGAUGCUGACCUCUCCAAAAAGAUGAACCGGAAAUACAUCAAGAAACCAAAGCCUAAACCUGGUGAGAGAGAGAAGGCAAAGGGAUAGAUGGCAAACCGGCGGCACUUCUUGGAAUCAAAAAGGUCCCAAUCGCUUCCUUUUCAGCAAUUUCAGGCACUUUUAACUCUCUUUCCAAAGAACUUUUCAUCUUUCCCUCACGGUACUUGUUUGCUAUCGGUCUCGCGCCAGUACUUAGCUUUAUGUGAAACCUACCACACAUUUUGCGCUCAAAUCCCGAUGAACGCGACUCUAUAAAAGCGUACCGUACGUGGAACAAAAAACGCAGGGGAAGGACGGGAUUCUCACCCUCUAUGAUGUUCUUUCCCAAGAAACUUAACCCUGCGCUUCCACUGGUAACGCCUCUCGAGGCUACAAGUCAACAGCUCGGAAAGAGCAGUUGAUUUCCACUUUGAGCUGAUCCCGGUUCACUCGCCGUUACUAAGGGAAUCAUAGUUAUUUUCUUCUCCUCCGCUUAAUAAUAUGCUUAAGUUCAGCGGGUAACCUCGCCUGAUUUCAGGUCUG